AGUGCUGAAGGGAUGGAUGGUGGUGCAGUAAAGGUGUUUGUGUCUUCUGGCCCAAUUGAGCUGAAGAGAGAUGGAUCCCUUCCCUUUAUGCCUAGAAGUGGCCAAUUCAAUGUGUGGUCCCUUCUGGGAGCUGCAAUGGGUGUGUGUUCAGUGGUUAUCUUCGUAGCUGGAGUUGUAUCUUUCUGGAAACUGCCAAAAAGUGUGUAUUGAUAAAUGAAAAUCUUACUUGUAAAAGCUUAUUUUUUGUGCUUGACUAAUUCUACACUUGAUAUGUCAGAAUGGCCAUGUCAAUGGGAUUUCCUCCUCUUUGCUGUAGCAAAUGCUUUGAUUUUCCCUGAUCAGGCCAUUCUCAAUAUGGUAUGUUACUCAAGGGCCCUUCACUAAUUCACUGUGUGAACCUGGGGGCAAAGACUUUCCUCCUCCCAUUGAGCUGUAACCUUAUUUUUAUAUUGAACAGUAACAGGGCAAUUACUAUACCUUCAGUUAUUUAGUAUGAUCAAAUUUAAGGAAGAACCCCCCCCCCUCAUUUGUCCCUUUUAUUAAAUAUGUAUUGGGUAACAAUUUUCAUAUAGAAAUUCUAUUUCAGUAUACAACUUAUAUAUUGUCAUGAACCAGGCUUCAACAAGAAACAAACUAGAGCCCUGCAUCACUGAUUUAAGAAUAUAUUUAACUGUUAAUUUAUUUUGAAGCCUCGUGUGUAGAAAUAGUAAUGGAGGAGGGGGGGGGUCAUUUGAAAACAAAAGCUGGUGUAAAGUUAAAAGCUGUCCACCAAAGCCAGGCUUGUCCACUUUCCCUUAUGUUGGGCCCUUCUCCCUGACAGAUUCUCUUGUCUCUUUAAAUUUACA